GGAUCGAUGAUGACUUCCACAUAUACAUUCCUUGGAAAUCUGAGAAAAAUGCGUGAAAACCCCCCACCCUCUCACUCAUCGACCUGAGGUGC